GACGAACGCUGGCGGCGUGCUUAACACAUGCAAGUCGAACGAGGCCUCGUCUUCGGGUGGGGUUCUAGUGGCGAACGGGUGAGUAACACGUGGGCAACCUGCCCCCGGCUCUGGGAUAACUCCAAGAAAUUGGGGCGUAAUACCGGAUAUGACCGCUGGCCGCAUGGUCUGGUGGUGGAAAGUUUUUCGGUCUGGGGAGUGGGCCCGCGGCCUAUCAGCUUGUUGGUGGGGUAGUGGCCUACCAAGGCGACGACGGGUAGCCGGCCUGAGAGGGUGACCGGCCACACUGGGACUGAGACACGGCCCAGACUCCUACGGGAGGCAGCAGUGGGGAAUAUUGCGCAAUGGGCGGAAGCCUGACGCAGCGACGCCGCGUGGGGAU
rnacentral:rRNA from 1 species